rnacentral:rRNA from 1 species
GACGAACGCUGGCGGCGUGCUUAACACAUGCAAGUCGAACGGAAAGGCCCUGCUUUUGUGGGGUGCUCGAGUGGCGAACGGGUGAGUAACACGUGAGUAACCUGCCCUUGACUUUGGGAUAACUUCAGGAAACUGGGGCUAAUACCGGAUAGGAGCUCCUGCUGCAUGGUGGGGGUUGGAAAGUUUCGGCGGUUGGGGCUGGACUCGCGGCUUAUCAGCUUGUUGGUGGGGUAGUGGCUUACCAAGGCUUUGACGGGUAGCCGGACUGAGAGGGUGACCGGCCACAUUGGGACUGCGAUACGGCCCAGACUCCUACGGGAGGCAGCAGUGGGGAAUAUUGCACAAUGGGCGGAAGCCUGAUGCAGCAACGCCGCGUGCGGGAUGACGGCCUUCGGGUUGUAAACCGCUUUCGCCUGUGACGAAGCGUGAGUGACGGUAAUGGGUAAAGAAGCACCGGCUAACUACGUG